UAGUCUAAGUCUCCAACGGGUCAGUCUA
rnacentral:piRNA from 1 species